UGAGAAUCCACUCUUAUGUUGCACUGAAUUCUGGUGAAGAACCUUCUGAGCAAUCACGGAUCCAGGUCACGAUCUAUGACAAUGAGAGUAAUUGGCUGAAAUGAAAUUAAGGAGGUCAUUGAAUACAAAGAGGUCAAGGAACUGAGAGGCCAGAAUGUUGAGAGAGUCACUGACACCUGAUCAUCAGCACCUGACAUCAGCACUUCUGCUGAUGAGUAAUAUAACUUUGAACAAGUCACAUAACCUCUUUAAGAUGCAAUUUUUUCAUCUGCAAAAUGGGAAUAAACCAGAGCUGCAGUAAUUGGAACACGGGAGGAACUCAAAAGUAUGUCAGCUUCUUUCUCACUUUCCUCAUUUAUGGCACUGUAAGCCAAAGGAACUUGAGGAAAAAGGUUUACUCACAGAAUUAUUUUUGAAAAAUCUUCCACAACUAAAUUGUGCCUAUUGGCAUCUUCAGCCACAUAUUAGAAGUUUCCAUUUUCACUUACAAAAGCUUUUUCUUCAUGGAGUGAAGACAUGGUCAGUCUUCUAUGUCGAUUGAGCUCUAGCCUUCCACAGAUCUGCUGUAUAGAAGGAAAUAUUCCAUCCCAACUGAAUCAAACUGAUUUUGGACAGCAAAUGGCAAAUCUCCCUUCCUACCCUGUCCACUACUUGGUGAUGCCUUCAUUUACAAAACUACAAUCAAAGAAAAUUGGACUAGUUCUGAUGAUAUAUUUUCUUUUCUUCUACUAAAAGUAGCAGCACUUGGCAGUUGAAAUAAAUGAGAAGGAUAUUCUUCCUGAUUUAAAUCACAAAUAAAGUCAGGUAGGGAAUGUAGAAGAUAACUUUAGCUUUCAAAAUAUACAUUCAAACCACACAUUAACUUAAACAUGUGAUUUUCACUUUUCAGGUUUUACAUAAGGUAGUGAAAUGCAAGUCCCAGUUUCUAUAUAGCUGAGAAGAAAAGCAUGUCCUGAUACAACACAUAACAUGUGGAGUAAAUAUGUACUUUUCCUCUUGCUUACUAGUUUACUUUUUCCGUUAAAUCCCCCAUUUCCCCAUAUUUUUUUUUAAUUGGGAAGAUAAUUUAUGUUCUUCAAGGAGUUGUUCAGCAAUCCUAAAAACAGCUGCUAUUUUUUAAACUCUUCUUACUGUCUUGGUUGGUUAACAAUGUCUCUUUGGUAUAAUAUUUUACUGUGGAAUAAAACUGCCA
rnacentral:lncRNA from 10 species